GAGUUUGAUCCUGGCUCAGGACGAACGCUGGCGGCGUGCCUAAUACAUGCAAGUCGAGCGCGGGAAGCGAGCUGAAGCCCUUCGGGGUGGACGCUCGUGGAACGAGCGGCGGACGGGUGAGUAACACGUGGGCAACCUACCUGUGAGACGGGGAUAACUCCGGGAAACCGGGGCUAAUACCGGAUAACGCAUCGAACCGCAUGGUUCGAUGAUCAAAGAUGGCUUCUUGCUAUCACUCACAGAUGGGCCCGCGGCGCAUUAGUUAGUUGGUGAGGUAACGGCUCACCAAGGCGACGAUGCGUAGCCGACCUGAGAGGGUGAUCGGCCACACUGGGACUGAGACACGGCCCAGACUCCUACGGGAGGCAGCAGUAGGGAAUCAUCCGCAAUGGACGCAAGUCUGACGGUGCAACGCCGCGUGAGCGAUGAAGGUCUUCGGAUCGUAAAGCUCUGUUGUGAGGGAAGAACAAGUGCCGUUCGAAUAGGGCGGCACCUUGACGGUACCUCACCAGAAAGCCCCGGCUAACUACGUGCCAGCAGCCGCGGUAAUACGUAGGGGGCAAGCGUUGUCCGGAAUUAUUGGGCGUAAAGCGCGCGCAGGGCGGUUCCUUAAGUCUGAUGUGAAAGGCCACAGCUCAACUGUGGAGGGCCAUUGGAAACUGGGGAACUUGAGGACAGAAGAGGAGAGCGGAAUUCCACGUGUAGCGGUGAAAUGCGUAGAUAUGUGGAGGAACACCAGUGGCGAAGGCGGCUCUCUGGUCUGUAACUGACGCUGAGGCGCGAAAGCAUGGGUAGCGAACAGGAUUAGAUACCCUGGUAGUCCAUGCCGUAAACGUUGAGUGCUAGGUGUUAGGGGGUCCAACCCUUAGUGCUGCAGUUAACGCAAUAAGCACUCCGCCUGGGGAGUACGGCCGCAAGGCUGAAACUCAAAGGAAUUGACGGGGGCCUGCACAAGCGGUGGAGCAUGUGGUUUAAUUCGACGCAACGCGAAGAACCUUACCAGGUCUUGACAUCUUCGGACAGCCCAAGAGAUUGGGUCUUCCCUUCGGGGGACCGAAUGACAGGUGGUGCAUGGUUGUCGUCAGCUCGUGUCGUGAGAUGUUGGGUUAAGUCCCGUAACGAGCGCAACCCCUGAUCUUAAUUGCCAGCAUUCAGUGGGCACUCUAGAUGACUGCCGUGACAAACCGGA
rnacentral:rRNA from 1 species